AACUUUCAGCAACGGAUCUCUUGGCUCUCGCAUCGAUGAAGUACGCAGCGAAAUGCGAUAAGUAAUGUGAAUUGCAGAAUUCAGUGAAUCAUCGAAUCUUUGAACGCACCUUGCGCUCCUUGGUAUUCCGAGGAGCAUGCCUGUUUGAGUGUCAUGAAAUCUUCAACCUAUAAGCUUUUGUGGUUUGUAGGCUUGGACUUGGAGGCUUGUCGGCCUUGAUCGGUCGGCUCCUCUUAAAUGCAUUAGCUUGAUUCCUUGCGGAUCGGCUCUCGGUGUGAUAAUAUCUACGCCGCGACCGUGAAGCGUUUGGCGAGCUUCUAACCGUCUCACUUGAGAGACAACUUUAUGACCUCUGACCUCAAAUCAGGUAGGACUACCCGCUGAACUUAAGCAUAUCAAUAAGCGGAGGCU
rnacentral:misc_RNA from 1 species